CCCAUGGCUCUUCUGUCUCGCUCUACUUAUGGCUCCUCUACUCACAUCAUCUACAGCUUCUCCAUGCCACACCCUGUCCCCCCUAGCCUACGCACCUAUAGCUUCUUCACGUUAGCAUUGAUGGUAUAGACGAUGUCGGAUGUGUGAAGCUCCAUGUUGAAGUAGCAAAUGUCCUAAUUCAAAGCCGCCUCCUUGAUCCUCAUCUCCAUCAUUUCUGGAGCAAACCUCAGAGCAUAUGCAUGGUGGAUAGCACACAAUUGGGAAUUGGUGAAAUACAGG
rnacentral:lncRNA from 1 species